CCAUCCACUACGUAAACGAAAUGGCGUGCCCAGAGUACACAUCGUGACAGCGCUCCGCCUUCAAACCGAGGGCCUUUUGCAAGGCGCAUGGACUGCUCAUAUAAAAGUUACAGUCAGCAUGAAGCAAUUGCAUGGGAACCGACUGGCUGUCUUGGGCCUACACAUUGCUGAAAA
rnacentral:lncRNA from 1 species